CAUCUUUUUAAUCUUUACUUUUAAUUGUGUGUCUUAUUGAUAUCGUCAAUUUUAUUCUUGUUUCAGGAGGUAGGAGGCCGAGGUGGUGGACUGCUGUGUCUGGUGGAUGCUGCAAGACAACCUCUGCAGAACCUAUCUGAGAAGCAGGAAGUUGAGGACUUGCCUGCGGCUGCAAGCAGUGAAUGCACACAUUUGUAUGUGGUUUUGUGUUUUACUUGUGUGCACAAGCGGAUACGUGAAUGUAAGUGUGCAUCUCUACAAACACACAGCCUCCACUCACCUCUCAUUCCACAUCUAUUUGGCCCCGAGGCUCUUUUUCUCUGUCUGAGUGACUGGCUCUUGCAACAGAAUAAAAUCUGAGGAAAGCACACCAAGGAGACAGAAUUCCUUAUGGGUCUUGGUUCUGAUUGUCUGCAUCACAUUUCUUUAUCCGGGUUUUAGUGUCAAUGACUUUGACUACACGAAGCAGAUGGCUGUCAUGGUUGAACCUGAUUCUAAUGUAGGAUUUUGUUUUGCUUUCUUGCCUAAAUGUGCUGGUGGGAAUGGCCAUAGACACUUUUGUUUAUGGUCAUUUUGAUCUACGUUUGGGAGUUGAUGCAGUUCCAGUUCAUUCAGUCAAUUACUGUAGUUCUGGCCUUUUAAAUAAAGGUUUAAUUGAUAGAUUGA